GUACACAUUUGCCAAAUGGAUACACACUGACAACCGUACCAUCGCACAUACCGAGAGACGCGCAAACAGAGCCAAAUUGUACGGCACGGAACCGAACAGAGCAAGAUACAGAUACAGAGCCGUAGGUUGACGAGCGGCGGAACCGAAUCAGAAUCCGAAAACCAUCCGAACGAAACAAGCGCCAAACCUCAGUGAAACUCAACAAACGUUUUAUUGAUUCGACGCCAAAAUGGAGCUAAAACUACGCUACUUAUAGGAAAAUGGCCCCCUUUUUCCAGACCUGGUUUUGGAUUUUGAUAUUUGUACUGACCUUUUCAAGAGGGUGGAUAAAUCUACAUAUUUGCUUUGCAUCUAUGGAAAUUAAGUGUUUCAGUUAACAUAAAUGUACAUUAUUUCAUUCUUUUGUACUGCCAUUUGCAUAGUAAUUAAAAGAAUUACUCUCAUUUUUA